rnacentral:lncRNA from 1 species
CAUCACGAGUUAAAGAUUUUUUCCCUUUUCACAUUGAUGCUUCUGAUAUACUUUUAUACGUUAGCUGAUUGUAUGUGCGUACUUUGUGGCUGCCAAGAUGCAGCUGGAAAGUGUGUGGGGGUUGUCUGCUUCCUCUGAGGCUGCUACAGGUGGUCAGGUGGGGGCGGCCGUGAUAAAGGUACAGCACCCACUUCCGCCAGCUUGUCUUGUGCGCCCUGUAACCCACUGCAUGAACCUGAGUGGCACUUCAACCGGAUUUUCUUGUUGGCACUUUUAUCUUUCACUGCUUCUGACUUGCCUGUUGAGGUUUAUGACUAAGUUUGUGAUUAAAAAUUCCCUUUUUAGGUAUGAAAAAUCUUUUCAAUUACUUUGUGUUCCUUUUUUUGUUUGGUUUUUGUUGUUUGCAUGUGGACUUUCUGGGUUUUGUAAAAAUGAAUCUUAAAAAAAUCUUAAUAUUAUGUAAGAGUUAGAUAAAGGUUAAGUAGCUAAUAUAUUCCCUCAUUAGGGCAAUAGAAUCAACGUAUGUUCUUGGAAGAUUAAGUGUGUUAAAAUGCAUUUUAUGAUGAAAGCACUUUCAGUUAUUUAGAAUAGGCAUGGAAAAGCCCAUUUCAGAAUAUUGUCAUAAAAUCAUUAGACUUGGAAAGGUUUUCGUUUAUUCAGUCCGUAUCCCCCUGUCUGUUUAAUCUUUGCAUACUACUGUCCUUGGAGCACGGAGAAACGUGAGCUACCCUUGGAGGUUUAUAGUCCCACUGGAAGGGAACCAAUGUUUAUGCCUGAUUAUAUGAUAGGAGCGUUACAUGUUCUUAUUCCAUCUUUGAGGAAACCUUAUAAAUAAGAUAAUAACUUUUUCAGAGAAAGAAGCUGGGGUUCUGAGACAUUACUCACUUAGGGGCACCCAGAGGAAACAGCAAGACCUCCGGCUUCAUCACCAGUAAUUUCCAGCAUGUGAGCUGCCCUCCACACUCUGUAAUUUAAAAAAAUUUGGGGACAUCUAGUAAAUAUUCUAGAAGUUCAGAAGCAAAAAAGCUAGGCUGCAGCUGAAGUACUCAGAUUUACCACUGGCUGACUGGGAAAUCAGACCUGAGCCUUGACAAUGGGUAGAAUCUGUAUAGAGGAGCCGAGAGAAGAAGAGUUUCCGCACUGCAUAAGCCCAAUGAGGGAAGGUGUAAUAACAAAGGAAAGGUGAGCACACAGGUUUAAGAGAUGCUGUGUGGGCCGGUCCAGCUGGGAGCCAUUACCACUCAACACUUAAUGGAGUGCUUACUGUGCUAGGCACUUCUCUUAAGUUCUUCACACCUUUUAACUCUUCUUAUCUUCACAGCAAGCCUUUGAAGGAGAUGUUAUUAUCAAGUCCCCCCUGCCCCCCUGUUUUUUAGAAACAGAGUCUUGCUCUGUUGCCCAGGCUGGAGUGCAUGUGGUGUGAUCAUAGCUCUUUGUGGCCUCGAACUCAUGGGCUCAAGUGAUCCUUUUGCCUUAGCCUCCUGAGUAGCCAGGACUACAGGUGUGUGCCACCAUGCCUGGCUAAUUUUUUUUCCCAUAGGAACAGGAUCUCGUUAUGUUACCCAGGCUGGUUUUGAACACCUGGCCUCAAGCGCUCCUUCGCCUUAGCCUCCUAUAGUGCUGGGAUUAGAGGUGUGAGCCACUGCACCUGACCUUCAUUGAGGGAUGAGGAGACUGAGGCACAUAGCAGUUAAGUUGCGGAACUGUGAUUCAAAGCAUGGCCACCAGGAUCCAGAGCCUGAGUUCUUAGCUACUCUGCUGUCUUGUUUUCUCUCUAUCAGGCAAUGCAGGCUGCUUGUUAGAGGGACGGUAAGGAUUCUCGAAUUGCUGGGGAUAGCAAGAGGAAGAUGCAAAUGGUAGGGGUAGUGAUAGAAAGAUCAAAAUGGCAGCAGCACAGCACGCUGGCCAAUUUGACAAGAGGAAACAUUAGGAAAGAAGAGGAGUUUUUUCUCAGCUAAGCAGGAUCUGGUCAGUGUAAGUGGGUAGCAAGAGAGAGAAGUGAGAUGUAACGAAUCAAUAGGCCUUGAUGAAUGACUGGAAUUGAAGGAGAGAGAAUGAGCAAAAAUGAAUCUAAGAUUUGGAGCUUGGUUGACUGGGAGGAUAAUUCUGCUAUUGCAGAAAUCACAUAUACAGGAAAGAUGGCUCACUGGAGAGUUGAGAAUAAAGGAGAGGAGUUCAGGGGAGGGAAUGGAGAUGAUUGGGGGCUAUCUGCAAGGAGAGAAUUGAUGCGCUGGGAAUAGAUGAUUUCUGAGAGAGAAAGAGAGAAAAACCCAGGGCCUUAAAAAGUGUCCUUGGUCGAGAAGCAGAAGGAGAAAGAGGAGCAGGAAACCAUAAAAGAAGCAGGAGAGAGAGGAGAAUAAAAAGAGAAAAAAAGAAAACUACUGAACAGUGUCAGAUACUACAAAGAAGUCAAGGAGAACAAGAGUGAAAGGGGGACAUAAGAUUUGACAAGGAAGAAGGCCAUUUGUACCCUGCACAGUAAGUCUUGGUGGCAUGGGGAGGUGAAAUCUAGUUGCAUUAAGGACUGUGGUGUUGCUGAAUUCUUCCUCAGGGGAAAGUCCCUGGACCUUUUCUAAGCACUAAAUUUGCAGGUAGUUCAAUGUCAAGCUGAGAAGGAACUUGGUUAACAGCACUUGGUGCAUAAUACUAUGUUUUCUUACAGUGACCUAACUGUUCUAUCGUGUUUUGUCUUUCAGCGCGUUCAUUCACAUAGCUCCCAGUUUUAACAUUUCGCCACCUACUGAAGACAUCAUUUGGGGCCAAGCUGAUGAGCCCUUGAAGCAGAGCAGGUGAGGCAAGGACCUCAGCUUGGUCUUUGUUUCAUAAGUUUACACAGCUAGCUUACGUUCCCACCAGCAGUGUGAAAGUGUUCCCUUUUUAUCACAUCCACAUCAGCAUCUAUUAUUUUUUGUUUUUCAAUUAUGUCCAUUCUUACAGGAAUAAGAUGGUAUCUCAUGUGCUUUUAAUUUGCAUUUCCCUAAUAGAGAUGUUGAGCAUUUUUUCUUAUGUUUGUUGGCUAUUUGGAUAUCUUCUUUUGAGAAUUGUCUGUUCAUGUCCUUUGCCCAGUUUUUGAUGGUUUUUUAGAGUUUAUUAGCUUUUAAUAUAAACAUGAGAAAAACCACAUAAAUUGUAGCAUUCUUUUAAAAAUAAAACUGCAAUCAAUACUUGAAUAUCCAAGCUCUGAACUCCAUAAACAAUGUUUUUUCUUUCUUUCUUUUUUUUCUUUUUUUGAUGAGGUUGCUUUUAUCUUUCUGAUUUGAGUUUCUUGUAGAUUCUGGAUAUUAGUCCUUUGUCGGGUGCAUAGUUUGCAAAUAUUUUCUCCCAAUCUGGGUUGUCUUUUUACUCUGUUGAUUAAUUCUUUUGCUAUGCAGAAGCUUUUUAGCUUAAUUAGGUCCCAACUAUUUAUUUUUGUUUUUGUUGCAUUUGCUUUUGGGUUCUUAGUCAUGAACUUUUUGCCUAAGCCAAUAUCUAGAAGAGUUUUUCCAAUGUUCUAGAGUUUUUAUGGUUUCAGGUCUUAGAUUAAAGUCUUUGAUUCAUCUUGAGUUGAUUUUUAUAUAAAGUGAGAGAUGAAGAUCCAGUUCAUUCUUCUACAUGUGGCUUGCCAAUUAUUCCAGCACUAUUUAUUGAAUAGGGCAUUUUUUCCCCCACUUUGUGUUUUUGUUUGCUUUGUCAAAGAUCAGUUGGCUGUAUUUGGCUUUAUUUCUGGAUUCUCUGUUCUGUUCCACUGGUCUAUGCGCCUAUUUUUAUUACCAGCACCAUGCCAUUUUGGUAACUAUAGCCUUGUAGUAUAG